rnacentral:rRNA from 1 species
GUGCCAGCAGCCGCGGUAAGACGGAGGAGGCAAGCGUUAUCCGGAAUUAUUGGGCGUAAAGGGUACGUAGGCGGCUGGUCAAGUCUGGGGUCAAAGGCCACAGCUCAACUGUGGGAAGGCCCUGGAAACUGACCGGCUAGAGUGAGGUAGGGGUUGCGGGAAUUCCCGGUGUAGCGGUGAAAUGCGUAGAGAUCGGGAAGAACACCUGAGGCGGAAGCGCGCAACUGGGCCUCAACUGACGCUGAGGUACGAAAGCUAGGGGAGCGAAUGGGAUUAGAUACCCCAGUAGUCCUAGCCGUAAACGAUGGACACUAGACGUUGGCCGUAUCGACCCGGUCAGUGUCGGAGCUAACGCGUUAAGUGUCCCGCCUGGGGAGUACGCACGCAAGUGUGAAACUCAAAGGAAUUGACGG